CAGUCGCCACGGUAAUACGUAGGGCGCAAGCGUUGUCCGGAAUUAUUGGGCGUAAAGAGCUCGUAGGCGGUCUGUCGCGUCUGGUGUGAAAUCCCGAGGCUCAACCUCGGGCUUGCAUCGGGUACGGGCAGACUAGAGUGCGGUAGGGGAGACUGGAAUUCCUGGUGUAGCGGUGGAAUGCGCAGAUAUCAGGAGGAACACCGAUGGCGAAGGCAGGUCUCUGGGCCGCAACUGACGCUGAGGAGCGAAAGCAUGGGGAGCGAACAGGAUUAGAUACCCGAGUAGUCCCUGUCUCUUAUAC
rnacentral:rRNA from 1 species